CUACGGGAGGCUGCAGUCACGGAAACUUUACAAUGCGCGAAAGCGUGAUAAGGGUAUCCCAAGUGCUUUGCUUAUUGUAAGGCUUUUGCCAAGUGUAAAGAGCUUGGCGAAUAAGUGGUGGGUAAGACUGGUGCCAGCCGCCGCGGUAACACCAGCGCCACAAGUGGUAACCACGUUUAUUGGGCCUAAAGCGUUCGUAGCCGGUUUGAUAAGUUUCUUGUGAAAUUGUUUGGCCUAACCAAACAACGUGCAAGAAGUACUGUCUAACUUGGGACCGGGAGGAGUUAGAGGUAUUCCAUGGGGAGCGGUAAAAUGCUAUAAUCCUUGGAGGACCACCAAUGGCGAAGGCUUCUAACUAGAACGGAUCCGACGGUCAGGAACGAAGGCUAGGGGAGCAAAACGGAUUAGAUACCCCCGUAGUC
rnacentral:rRNA from 1 species